GGCCUCGUAGCUCAGUUGGCUAGAGCUUUGGCUGUACUAAAGCCUUCCCCUUGCUGUCGUGCGUUCGAAUCCCACCGAGGCCG
rnacentral:tRNA from 1 species